rnacentral:lncRNA from 1 species
CAGGGGACUGCGCUGGCCAGGAUCUUGCCACCACCUCAACAAGGCUUGGUGAUGGAUGCUGUGAAGGAAGAUUAGCAGCCACCCGGAAGGUCGACUACAUAGAGGGCUUGCUCUGAUCUGGACUGAAUAUGAAUGCAGUCGAUCAUGCCACUGCACUGUUCUUCACACCACGACAGCUGGGUCCAGUCUUGACAGGAGGCCAAAGACUCCACCCACAAGGCACAUGGCUUGUCAGCAACAACACAGAGCACCAGUGUGUCCAAGCCACAUCCACCAACAAGCCCGGAUGCCCUCUGCAAGUCUGGUUGACACAGGGCAAGAGCCAUGAGCACCCAAGCUCUGGCGGCCUUCCCGGGAGCUCUCACUCUCCGGGCACACAGGGAUCUCCCUGCUUGGGCAGACGGUGGGUCUGCAGGGACUCGACAUGCCAUGGGGCCCUCCCAUGA